CGCGUAGGCGGCUCGGAAAGUCGGGCGUGAAAUGCCGGGGGCUCAACCCCGGGACUGCGUCCGAUACUUCCGAGCUGGAGGUAGGUAGGGGAGAUCGGAAUUCCUGGUGUAGCGGUGAAAUGCGCAGAUAUCAGGAGGAACACCGGUGGCGAAGGCGGAUCUCUGGGCCUUACCUGACGCUGAGGCGCGAAAGCUAGGGGAGCGAACA
rnacentral:rRNA from 1 species